CUUCAUGGCGCCGAUCAGCACGGGCCGGUCGGCGGGGCGCUGCUGUCCGUACGUGGCCAGCAGCGCGUGCGCCUC
rnacentral:antisense_RNA from 7 species